GGGAACACCAGCAGCUCCUGGCUACCCCGCCCACUGUUCGCAAAGCAUUCUGGGGAAUGUAGUCCUGCCUUUGUUGUCUUCUUCACACAGAAGGAGAAGGAUGCAACUCUGAGCCGGAUGACUUGUAGAAGGGAAGAAGAAAAAAAUCAAUUUGGAAUGUGGAAGAGCAAAGCAGAAGGAAAGACAGUUCUCACACAGAAGGCACUGCCCAGCAAGUACUCCUAAACAACUCUCUAGCCUCGCUUCCUUACCAGAUCUGGGCUGCAAAAACCUCUGGAAAGAGACAAGUUAUUUGCUGUCACCUAGUGGUCAUCCAGCAGUGGGUCUCCUAAGGUGGAUGGAGAAGUUACUAGUUGGCUGUCCGAGCCCAAAGACAACGCAAUGAAAUCCAAUCAAAUCUAACCCUUUAUUUGCUUAUACUUAAUGGACAGAAUUUUGUCAAACUAAAGCUAUAACUCUGUACCCUAAUAGAUAUAACCUAAGCCUAAGGGAUUCUAGGGUGUGGCUACCCUGAACCUCUUUCCCCAAUCCUCAUCCAGUUCACGGUUCUGCAGUCUUUGAAUUUGCAUUUUUCUCUGGAAUAUAUCGGGAAAGCUCUGCACUGACAAGAUUCCCCUCCACUGCUUCUCCAGGUGCACAUUCCAUCACAAUACCAGAUUGGGGCUGCAGAAAACCAGAUGACCAUUUGAUAGCAACAAAGAGCUACAAAAAGCCAUUAUUCUGUUGCCAUGUAGUGGUCAUCUAGAUUUUGGUAGCUUCAUAUUUGCUCUUUCUUUGAUCACAGGCAAUAUAUCUUAAAUGUCAAUUGCUGAGAAGCAAUUCUGAAAGUUGGCUACCACCCUCCUGUCCAUCCUUGUGAGCUUGGCUAAAGCAACUAAAUGGUUCCUAUGUGACAGAGGAAACUAUAUUAGAUGAAUCUUGGUUCUGGUCCAGCAGGUUCUGAUCUUAAAGGUUCAGCAAUAAACAUUCUAAUAAUGGGAGUAUCAAAACAUACCGCUUAAGGGGAAAUAAGGGAAGGGAGAAUGGUACAACUUAACACAUGUACAACUAUCUCCGGUAUUCAUUCAGCCUACUGAACCAUUAAGCCCUUUCCUUCAGAAGAAAACCGUAUUUGAUCGGAACUAUAUUGGAAAAUACUCUUCUUCAAUAGGAGAAAGCAGUGAUUCCCAUUUGCAGAGAAGACUAUCAUCUGCUAUUCAAGCAAACAAUUCUGACAUGUUCACUGAGGAUUGGGUUUGUAUUGAAAAUCCAGAUUGUAGUUCAAUCUUGGUUCUUGGCUUCUUAGCCACCCCUUGUUCUUGAUUUAUAUAGUCCAGCUCAGGUCCAUGAGUUGUGCAAACCUGGACAUUGCUAGCUAUGUUUAGCAAACAUUAGUCACUUUAGAAAUGGUGAUAGGAUGCAAGAAUAGCCACAAAGCAAAGCUACUACAUUUUUCACUCUCAGAUAAUCCCAUGGGCAUGUGGCAGCUCAUUAUGCACUUGCAUGAAAAAGAAAAGGAAUGAAAAGAAAAGAAACUUGAAGUGCUGUCUCUCUGUCCACCAGAAGAGGAGCAGAUACUGUACAAUUUUCAACAUGGGAAGAAUAAAACUUCACAUUUAAGAACUCAAUAAAAACUACAAAUCCCCUUGAAUCAAAUUAGAUUCCUGAUGAUCUUAUGGAUACAUCCAUGUUGUUUUUAUGUCAACUAUGGAAAUGGUUUAUAUAUAUUUUUUCCAGGAUGUUCUUCCACCUUCUCAGAUUAGUUUACAUCCUGGGAAUUCCCAGUACUCUCCAAUACAACCAAGCCUGAUCCUCUUUAGUUUUUUGAGAUCAGGCAUAGUCCAGUGAUGCCAUUAGCUGGGUCUAAAAAUAGAUAUGUUUAAUAUUUUUAACGUUCCAUGCUAGAGUUGGACAUGGGGAGAUAGCCAAUCUUUCUAUCGGGUACAAGGCUAAGGAUGUCUACUUUGGUAUUUUGCUCAAGAUCAUGAAAGGGAGAAGAAGAAAAGUUGAUUCAUCAGAUGCUGGAACAAAAUUAAAAAUAAGAUCCUGAUAAAAAGGGAAGUAGAGAAACAUUAACAUGGAGAAAAGGAUGAAGAAAAUAUAUGAAACAGAGGAUCUAGCAAGCAGGCAAGAGCAGAAGUAGUUCACACUGAAAGAAAAGACUAUGUUCAUACAGGUUCACAAGGUUAGUUAUAAACCUAAUGACUGCAUUUGUAAAAUAAAAUUUGUUUAGUGUUAACGGCUAAUAUUUUUGUGGCUUAAUGAGCAGCACAAGUCCAGCCUGGUGCUCAGUUUAUCAUUCCAUAUAUUGUACCAUAAAGGGUUGAUUCAGUUGACUCAGAAAUCAAAUUUAACAUAUUGUGUGAAUGCAGCCUACAGGUAAAUGUGAAGAAAGGAGACCAGCUGAAAAGGCAAACCAAGGGCAGAAAGAUUCAGGGUCUAUUUUCAAAUGAAGGGGUGCUUCAGCCUCCAUCUCUAACCCAUGUUGGGUGAAGAACCUCAGUGUCCUACACUAAGAAAACAAUAGAAGCAACAUGGCCAGGCUGUCAUGCAAAGGAAGAAGAAAAUUAAGUGCACAAAACCAUUAAAGUCAGAGAGAGAAAGGUUACAACAGAGACCAGAAAAUAAAGUACUAUAAUAAUCAAUAUGAUUAGAACUAAAAAGAGCCCACUUUAAAGUUUUGGUAGAGUCAGCAGAAAGAAAAGGAUCUCUCCUACCCAUUUCAUAAUGAUGGAAGGAAAUAUUAAAUCUGAACAUACUGUAAGCAUCGGAACCCAGAAAAGGAAAAAAAUCUAAAACAAUGUCCAAGCAUUGCACUUCCAGAAAAGAUAGGAAGGGAAGAGUAUUAAGAAGAAAUGAAAAGCUAUGUACAGUGGUAGGCAUUAGAAGGGAAAGCCAGACUUCCCCAGGUCCUGCUUAACUGGAGCAUGUAAUUGAUUUAGAAGGACUGUGAGCUGAAGGAAAUUCUCAGCAUAUGAAGGUGGGGUCAAGCAGUGAAAAAAAUGGAGGAGGAGUUUAUACAGCAGUCUGUGAGGUAACCUUCUGCUAUAUCCAUUAAAUUGCUGCACUGGGAGGAAAUGUCUGCUAACUGGAUCAGGGAAGAAGGAUUAGACCCAACCCUUCCGUUCCUUAACAUUUCUCAGCAUAAUCCACAGUGCAAGUUAGGACAGGAAAACUAGAUGAAGAGAAAAAGGUAAACACCUUCUCACUCAAAACUUUUAGCUCUGUUUGCUUAGUCAGUUAUCGGGGUUUACAAACACAUAUAACCAUCAGUUUAGUUUACAGACUACAAUGCUUUGGGUUCAUACAGCCAAGCAAACUACAUUUUGGCUGAAAGUGAUAUGGAAACCCAGUCCCCAAUGAAAAGUAAAAUACUGUGGCAGUACAAAUCUGCUAUGUCAGCCUUGAAUGGUACCAACCUCCUUGGGCAGCUUCUAAAAUACAUGCCACUGAUUUGAAAACAAUAGAGAGAGGCCCUCUAAAGUAGAGAGGUUGCAGAGUUUUAUGAGCGAGAUUUGUUUCUGGAAAAUAUUUUUGAAUCAAGUGCCUUCAGAUAUGGGAUAUUAAUUUUAUAUUUGAAAUAGCUUCCUGUAACAGUGUCUAUGAACUGUAUUAAGUUAUAAUGUUUUGUGUUUUGCCUCUAAGUUUAGCCAAUGUGUUCUGGAAAGCAUGAUUUGUGGUUUACUUUAUUGUGUAAGCUGAACUCAUUGUAGUUACUGAAUCACGAAUAAACAAAAUAAACAUGUUUUCACUCAUCCCUCCCAGGAACAGAUACACCCCCUCACCACAAUGAGGCAGCACAGCAGGACAUGGAGAAAUUUGUGGCCCUGUUUAUAUAACAUUUUAAAUCAUGAUUUAUUUAACAAUGGUUUACAAUUUGAAAGUUUCAUGCAACUUACUACUUAAUAAAUGCAAGUCAAUCAA